AUUGAACGCUGGCGGCAUGCUUUACACAUGCAAGUCGGACGAGUGGCGAACGGGUGAGUAACAUAUCGGAACGUACCGAGUAAUGGGGGAUAACUAAUCGACAGAUUAGCUAAUACCGCAUAUUAUUCGAGCGGCCGGUAUCGGAUUCGCUGGUUGGUGGGGUAAAGGCCUACCAAGGCGACGAUCCGUAGCGGGCCUGAGAGGAUGAUCCGCCCAACGGGGACUGAGACACGGCCCAGACUCCGACGGGAGGCAGUAGUGGGGAAGUGUGGACAAUGGGCGCAAGCCUGAUCCAGCCAUGCCGCGUGUCUGAAGAAGGUCUUCGGGUUGUAAAGGACUUUUGUCAGGGAAGCGGUACCUGAAGAAUAAGCACCGGCGAACUACGUGCCAGCCGCCGCGGUAAUUC
rnacentral:rRNA from 1 species